rnacentral:rRNA from 1 species
GCUUGCUUGGUGGAUCAGUGGCGAACGGGUGAGUAACACGUGAGCAACCUGCCCUGGACUCUGGGAUAAGCGCUGGAAACGGCGUCUAAUACUGGAUAUGAGCCUCUUCCGCAUGGUGGGGGUUGGAAAGAUUUUUUGGUCUGGGAUGGGCUCGCGGCCUAUCAGCUUGUNNGUGAGGUAAUGGCUCACCAAGGCGUCGACGGGUAGCCGGCCUGAGAGGGUGACCGGCCACACUGGGACUGAGACACGGCCCAGACUCCUACGGGAGGCAGCAGUGGGGAAUAUUGCACAAUGGGCGAAAGCCUGAUGCAGCAACGCCGCGUGAGGGAUGACGGCCUUCGGGUUGUAAACCUCUUUUAGCAGGGAAGAAGCGAAAGUGACGGUACCUGCAGAAAAAGCGCCGGCUAACU